rnacentral:rRNA from 1 species
AUUGAACGCUGGCGGCAGGCCUAACACAUGCAAGUCGAGCGGAUGAAGGGAGCUUGCUCCUGGAUUCAGCGGCGGACGGGUGAGUAAUGCCUAGGAAUCUGCCUGGUAGUGGGGGAUAACGUCCGGAAACGGGCGCUAAUACCGCAUACGUCCUGAGGGAGAAAGUGGGGGAUCUUCGGACCUCACGCUAUCAGAUGAGCCUAGGUCGGAUUAGCUAGUUGGUGGGGUAAAGGCCUACCAAGGCGACGAUCCGUAACUGGUCUGAGAGGAUGAUCAGUCACACUGGAACUGAGACACGGUCCAGACUCCUACGGGAGGCAGCAGUGGGGAAUAUUGGACAAUGGGCGAAAGCCUGAUCCAGCCAUGCCGCGUGUGUGAAGAAGGUCUCCGGAUUGUAAAGCACUUUAAGUUGGGAGGAAGGGCAGUAAGUUAAUACCUUACUGUUUUGACGUUACCAACAGAAUAAGCACCGGCUAACUUCGUG